AUACGUAGGGGGCGAGCGUUGUCCGGAAUGAUUGGGCGUAAAGGGCGCGUAGGCGGCGCGGUAAGUCUGGAGUGAAAGUCCCGCUUUCAAGGUGGGAAUUGCUUUGGAGACUGGUUGGCUUGAGUGCGGAAGAGGUAAGUGGAAUUCCCAGUGUAGCGGUGAAAUGCGUAGAGAUUGGGAGGAACACCAGUGGCGAAGGCGACUUACUGGGCCGUAACUGACGCUGAGGCGCGAAAGCGUGGGGAGCGAACAGGAUUAGAUACCCUGGUAGUCCACGCUGUAAACGAUGAAUGCUAGGUGUAGGGGGUAUCGACCCCUCCUGUGCCGGAGUAAACGCAAUAAGCAUUCCGCCUGGGGAGUACGGCCGCAAGGUUGAAACUCAAAGGAAUUGACGGGG
rnacentral:rRNA from 1 species